CAUUGAGUGGUUGCAAUGACCUACUUAAUAGUUUCUCUUCUAUUUCUCCUUUGUAGACUUGGCGCACAUUUAAACAAAUGUGCGCAUUUUU
rnacentral:ncRNA from 1 species